ACGGCGGACGGGUGAGUAACGCGUGGGUAACCUACCCUGUACACACGGAUAACAUACCGAAAGGUAUGCUAAUACGGGAUAAUAUAUUUGAGAGGCAUCUCUUAAAUAUCAAAGGUGAGCCAGUACAGGAUGGGCCCGCGUCUGAUUAGCUAGUUGGUAAGGUAACGGCUUACCAAGGCGACGAUCAGUAGCCGACCUGAGAGGGUGAUCGGCCACAUUGGAACUGAGACACGGUCCAA
rnacentral:rRNA from 1 species